rnacentral:rRNA from 1 species
GACGAACGCUGGCGGCGUGCUUAACACAUGCAAGUCGAACGGAAAGGCCCUGCUUUUGUGGGGUGCUCGAGUGGCGAACGGGUGAGUAACACGUGAGUAACCUGCCCUUGACUUUGGGAUAACUUCAGGAAACUGGGGCUACUACCGGAUAGGAGCUCCUGCUGCAUGGUGGGGGUUGGAAAGUUUCGGCGGUUGGGGAUGGACUCGCGGCUUAUCAGCUUGUUGGUGGGGUAGUGGCUUACCAAGGCUUUGACGGGUAGCCGGCCUGAGAGGGUGACCGGCGACAAUGCUACUACGAGACGGACCAGACGCCUACGGUGGACAGCAGUGGGGAAUAUUACACAGUGGGCGGACGUCUGAUACAGCAACGUCCGGUGCGGAAUGACGGUCUUCGGGUUGUAAACCGCUUUCGCCUAUGACGAAGCGUGAGUGACGGUAACGGGUGAAGAAGCACCGGCUAACUACGUG